rnacentral:rRNA from 1 species
CACGUACUGUGCGAACGUUAUUCGGAAUCACUGGGCUUGAAGGGUGCGUAGGCGGCAAUUCAAGUCAGAUGUGAAGUGCCUGAGCUCAACUGAGGCAUUGCGUUUGAAACUGAAUCGCUAGAGUAUCCCAGGGGUGUGCGGAACUGCCAGUGGAACGGUGAAAUGUGUUGAUAUUGGCAGGAACACCGGAGGCGAAGGCGGCACACUGGGGGAUAACUGACGCUGAGGCACGAAAGCCAAGGGAGCGAACGGG